rnacentral:rRNA from 1 species
GAGUUUGUCUUUUAGUGUGUGGGAGAGUGGGGUGCUUCGGGCCGGGUGUCGGGGCGUGUGCUUGGGAUCGCGAUAGGGAACGUCGGUGGAGGGUGGCGACGAGGUCUAGCUCUAGGCGGAGGGAGAGGCGAGCGCGGCCACACGUGGGAGGGAGGGUAGGGAGAGGGGAUGGAAACGGCGGGUAGAAGCGGCGGCGCGUAGGUGUCCUCGUUGUGCUCACCGCGCGGUACCCCGUUGUGGCGGCUGAAGAAGAGUAGUGGAGCGGCGCACGACAAGGACGCCCAACCGCGACGCCCCCGGCCCACGCGGGAGGAGCGCGGUCGCCUCCUACUGCUCCCGCUCCUGCACCUCCGGCCGCUCCCCCCUCCGCCGCCUCCCAACGCGGACCACCGGUAGGCCACCCGGGCGCAGUGGACGCGGGAGUUCUUGUUUGCGCCCCUGUACCACUCGGCGAGACCAUGCUCGUGUGAGCACACACUAGGGCCCGCGGCGUCCCGGUCGCUGUUCACGCACUUCCUCUUCGCGUUCUGGUAGUUGCCUCUGCUGGACUAGACCAGGUACCCGUGCGAGCCGAAGCUCCUGAUGCAGCUCGGGGAGUUCGACGUGGAGUUCGAGAUAGUCGUCCGGAAGCUCAAGUUCUCCGAAGACGAAAUGAUAUUGUUGCGACAAAACAAAUCCGAUCAGUACCUCGUCUUUCUUGCCUGUAACGAUGAAGUUGUUCUCCCUUCUACGGAAACAAGUCGGACAUGCCUGUAUAGGUCUUUACACAGAACGGUUGGAAGUUCAGUGAGGUUGAAACUUUCUGGUUUAAGCACU